rnacentral:lncRNA from 1 species
AUUUUGGCUAUUAGGCGCAUAAGAAAAUCUUAAGGGAGAUUUUUAACCAAAAACGCUAUUUUUUGUAAUGGGGCUUACUUGUAGCCAUAUGACAAACCAAGAAUUUAAGUGCUGUGGCACGGAGUCGUGCCGGAAACUUGCCGGCACGAUACAGCACAGUGCGUACCGAACAGUGCCGAUGCGUGUCGAUCAAAAAAAUUUUUAUGUACCAACAUAUAAUAGAAUAAAAUAUAUUUUUUUUUAACAACAAAAUAUUCUAACUAUUUAUUAUGUCUUUUUAUCACAUCUUUUAAAUUUUAUUUAGAAAAUUACUAGCUAAUUUAAAGAAUAGAAAAUUUUGAGCAGUGCCAUCAGUACGGGAUCUAUAUCGUGCCGGUAUCUUAUUAACACAGUACGGCACGGUGGAUACGGCCCGUGCCGACGGACACAUAAAACCUUAUGACAAACUUUUUUAAAUAAUUAUAUAAAACUAAAAUUUUGAAGUAAGAUAAAAAAUAAAAAAUUUAGUAUUUGAUUUUUAAGAAAA